rnacentral:rRNA from 1 species
AGAGUUUGAUCCUGGCUCAGAUUGAACGCUGGCGGAAUGCUUUACACAUGCAAGUCGAACGAUGAACCUUAGCUUGCUAAGGGGAUUAGUGGCGAACGGGUGAGUAAUAUAUCGGAACGUGCCUUGUAAUGGGGGAUAACUAGUCGAAAGAUUAGCUAAUACCGCAUACGCCCUGAGGGGGAAAGUAGGGGAUCUUCGGACCUUACGUUAUAAGAGCGGCCGUUAUCUGAUUAGCUAGUUGGUGGGGUAAUGGCCUACCAAGGCGACGAUCAGUAGCUGGUCUGAGAGGACGACCAGCCACACUGGAACUGAGACACGGUCCAGACUCCUACGGGAGGCAGCAGUGGGGAAUUUUGGACAAUGGGCGAAAGCCUGAUCCAGCCAUUCCGCGUGAGUGAAGAAGGCCUUCGGGUUGUAAAGCUCUUUCGCAAGGGAAGAAAACUUACACAAUAACACUGUGUGAGGCUGACGGUACCUUGAUAAGAAGCACCGGCUAACUACGUGCCAGCAGCCGCGGUAAUACGUAGGGUGCGAGCGUUAAUCGGAAUUACUGGGCGUAAAGCGUGCGCAGGCGGUUUGGCAAGUCAGAUGUGAAAUCCCCGAGCUCAACUUGGGAACUGCGUUUGAAACUGCCAGACUAGAAUAUGUCAGAGGGGGGUAGAAUUCCACGUGUAGCGGUGAAAUGCGUAGAGAUGUGGAGGAAUACCAAUGGCGAAGGCAGCCCCCUGGGAUAAUAUUGACGCUCAUGCACGAAAGCGUGGGGAGCAAGCAGGAUUAGAUACCCUGGUAGUCCACGCCCUAAACGAUGUCUACUAGUUGUUGGUGGAGUAAAUUCCAUGAGUAACGCAGCUACGCGUGAAGUAUACCGCCUGGGGAGUACGGUCGCAAGAUUAAAACUCAAGGAAUUGACGG